GACGAACGCUGGCGGCGUGCCUAAUACAUGCAAGUAGAACGCUGAAGAGAAGAGCUUGCUCUUCUUGGAUGAGUUGCGAACGGGUGAGUAACGCGUAGGUAACCUGCCUUGUAGCGGGGGAUAACUAUUGGAAACGAUAGCUAAUACCGCAUAACAAUGGAUGACACAUGUCAUUUAUUUGAAAGGGGCAAUUGCUCCACUACAAGAUGGACCUGCGUUGUAUUAGCUAGUAGGUGAGGUAAUGGCUCACCUAGGCGACGAUACAUAGCCGACCUGAGAGGGUGAUCGGCCACACUGGGACUGAGACACGGCCCAGACUCCUACGGGAGGCAGCAGUAGGGAAUCUUCGGCAAUGGGGGCAACCCUGACCGAGCAACGCCGCGUGAGUGAAGAAGGUUUUCGGAUCGUAAAGCUCUGUUGUAAGUCAAGAACGGGUGUGAGAGUGGAAAGUUCACACUGUGACGGUAGCUUACCAGAAAGGGACGGCUAACUACGUG
rnacentral:rRNA from 1 species